UACAGAGGUCUCAAGCGUUGUUCGGAUUCAUUGGGCGUAAAGGGUGCGUAGGCGGCUUUGCAAGUCGGGUGUGAAAGCCCUCAGCUCAACUGAGGAAGUGCGCCCGAAACUGCAGAGCUUGAGUGCCGGAGAGGGUGGCGGAAUUCCCCAAGUAGAGGUGAAAUUCGUAGAUAUGGGGAGGAACACCGGUGGCGAAGGCGGCCACCUGGACGGUAACUGACGCUGAGACGCGAAAGCGUGGGGAGCAAACAGG
rnacentral:rRNA from 1 species